rnacentral:rRNA from 1 species
GCCCCGCAAGGGGAGUGGCAGACGGGUGAGUAACGCGUGGGAACCUACCCAGUGGUACGGAACAACCCAGGGAAACUUGGGCUAAUACCGUAUACGCCCUCAGGGGGAAAGAUUUAUCGCCAUUGGACGGGCCCGCGUUGGAUUAGCUAGUUGGUGGGGUAAUGGCCUACCAAGGCGACGAUCCAUAGCUGGUCUGAGAGGAUGAUCAGCCACACUGGAACUGAGACACGGUCCAGACUCCUACGGGAGGCAGCAGUGGGGAAUAUUGGACAAUGGGCGCAAGCCUGAUCCAGCAAUGCCGCGUGUGUGAAGAAGGCCUUCGGGUUGUAAAG